CUGACAUGUAUUGAAUCAUCAGUAUGAAGAGCCAGAGUUUCAGUGGCAUUGAUCAUGUACUGGAUUUUAAUGUCAAGUGACCCAGAUUAUUUUGUUGUUCCUUUUCUCCUCCUCCCCCCCACCCCCGAAUUAUAAAACGUGAAUGACAGAGGUACUCCGUUGGAGGGCCAAACUGGCAAGGAGCAGGGAAGUGUGGAGCACCAGAGUAUUCAGUUUAUCCUGCAGUCCUUUAGUAACAAUCAGAGAAAUCUAAGCAGGGAAUUGUAGGUGAAAUGCUGACUGACAUGAAAGAGAGAAGCUGAUCGAGAAGAACCCGAAAAUAUAAGCUGAUCAAGAAGAGCCCUUCAGGUAGCAGCACUGCACACUCAUACAUGUUUUGAAGAACUAACUGCCUAAUUAAUAAAAAGUUACUAAAACAAA